GAACUUUUAAGUUUGAUCAUGGCUCAGAUCGAACGCUGUAAUGCAGGCCUAACACAUGCAAGUCGAGCGGUACACAGUGAGCUUGCUCCUGGGUGACGAGCGGCGGACGGGUGAGUAAUGUCUGGGAAACUGCCUGAUGGAGGGGGAUAACUACUGGAAACGGUAGCUAAUACCGCAUAACGUCUUCGGACCAAAGUGGGGGACCUUCGGGCCUCAUGCCAUCAGAUGUGCCCAGAUGGGAUUAGCUAGUAGUGGGGUAACGGCUCACCUAGUGCGACGAUCCCUAGCUGGUCUGAGAGGAUGACCAGCCACACUGGAACUGAGACACGGUCCAGACUCCUACGGGAGUGCAGCAGUGGGGAAUAUUGCACAAUGGGCGCAAGCCUGAUGCAGCCAUGCCGCGUGUAUGAAGAAGGCCUUCGGGUUGUAAAGUACUUUCAGCGAGGAGGAAGGCAUUAAGGUUAGUAACCUUAGUGAUUGACGUUACUCGCAGAAGAAGCACCGGCUAACUCCGUGCCAGCAGCCGCGGUAAUAUGGAGGGUGCAAGCGUUAAUCGGAAUUACUGGGCGUAAAGCGCACGCAGGCGGUCUGUCAAGGUCGGGAUGUUAAAUCCCCGGGCUCAACCUGNGAACUGCAUUCGAAAACUGGCAGGCUAGAGUUUGUACACGGG
rnacentral:rRNA from 1 species